rnacentral:rRNA from 1 species
CUAUGCGCCUUGCCAGCCCGCUCAGGUGUGCCAGCCGCCGCGGUAAUACGUAGGGUCCGAGCGUUGUCCGGAGUUACUGGGCGUAAAGCGCGCGCAGGCGGCGGUGCUGGCCCGGCGUGAAAGCCCCCGGCUCAACCGGGGAGGGUCGUCGGGGACCGCACCGCUUGAGGGCGGUAGGGGCUGGUGGAAUGCCUGGUGUAGUGGUGAAAUGCGUAGAGAUCAGGCGGAACACCCGUGGCGAAGGCGGCCAGCUGGGCCGUCCCUGACGCUGAGGCGCGAAGGCGUGGGGAGCGAACGGG